GACGAACGCUGGCGGCGUGCUUAACACAUGCAAGUCGAACGGUAAGGCCCUUCGGGGUACACGAGUGGCGAACGGGUGAGUAACACGUGGGUGAUCUGCCCUGCACUUCGGGAUAAGCCUGGGAAACUGGGUCUAAUACCGGAUAGGACCACUGCCUGCAUGGGUGGUGGUGGAAAGCUUUUGCGGUGUGGGAUGGGCCCGCGGCCUAUCAGCUUGUUGGUGGGGUGAUGGCCUACCCAGGCGACGACGGGUAGCCGGCCUGAGAGGGGGACCGGCCACACUGGGACUGAGAUACGGCCCAGACUCCUACGGGGGGCAGCAGUGGGGAAUAUUGCACAAUGGGCGCAAGCCUGAUGCAGCGACGCCGCGUGAGGGAUGACGGCCUUCGGGUUGUAAACCUCUUUCAGCACCGACGAAGCGCAAGUGACGGUAGGUGCAGAAGAAGGACCGGCCAACUACGUGCCAGCAGCCGCCGUAA
rnacentral:rRNA from 1 species